UGGGAGUAGAUUCUAUUAAAAGUUCAAUAUGAUUUACUCUGUCAUGGGUACUUUCAUCUUAGUAUUUUUUGCAUUAUUAUUUGUUGUAGAUAAAUGACACCUAGCAACACCACACCGUUUGCAGUCCUUGAGAAGGACAAGCUGAAUGGGACAAACUAUACGGAUUGGAUUCGUAACCUACGAAUUUUUCUUAGGGCUGAGAAAAAGGAAGACGUUCUGGACACCCCAUUACCAGAAGAACCUGCUGAUGAUGCACCUGCUAUUUGUUAAGAAUGCUUACA
rnacentral:lncRNA from 1 species